rnacentral:rRNA from 1 species
GAUGAACGCUGGCGGCGUGCCUAAUACAUGCAAGUCGAGCGAACAGACGAGGAGCUUGCUCCUCUGACGUUAGCGGCGGACGGGUGAGUAACACGUGGAUAACCUACCUAUAAGACUGGGAUAACUUCGGGAAACCGGAGCUAAUACCGGAUAAUAUAUUGAACCGCAUGGUUCAAUAGUGAAAGACGGUUUUGCUGUCACUUAUAUAUGGAUCCGCGCCGCAUUAGCUAGUUGGUAAGGUAACGGCUUACCAAGGCAACGAUGCGUAGCCGACCUGAGAGGGUGAUCGGCCACACUGGAACUGAGACACGGUCCAGACUCCUACGGGAGGCAGCAGUAGGGAAUCUUCCGCAAUGGGCGAAAGCCUGACGGAGCAACGCCGCGUGAGUGAUGAAGGUCUUCGGAUCGUAAAACUCUGUUAUUAGGGAAGAACAAAUGUGUAAGUAACUAUGCACGUCUUGACGGUACCUAAUCAGAAAGCUACGGCUAACUACGUG